CCUACGGGUGGCAGCAGUGGGGAAUAUUGCGCAAUGGGCGAAAGCCUGACGCAGCGACGCCGCGUGAGGGAUGAAGGUCUUCGGAUCGUAACCCUCUGUCAGCAGGGAAGAACGGUCACUGUGCUAAUCAGCAGUGAAUUGACGGUACCUGCAACGGAAGCACCGGCUAACUCCGUGCCAGCAGCCGCGGUAAUACGGAGGGUGCGAGCGUUACUCGGAAUUACUGGGAGGAAAGGGCGCGUAGGCGGUAUGUCAAGUCAAGGGUGAAAUCCUCGUGCUCAACGGUGGAACUGCCAUUGAAACUGGCAAACUGGAGUGUGGGAGAGGAGAGUGGAAUUCGAGGUGUAGGAGUGAAAUCCGUAGAUAUCUGGAGGAACAUCAGUGGCGAAGGCGACUAUCUGGCACAUAACUGACGCUGAGGAGCGAAAGCGUGGGUAGCAAACAGGAUUAGAUACCCCGGUAGUC
rnacentral:rRNA from 1 species